rnacentral:rRNA from 1 species
GGGGAAUCUUGCGCAAUGGUCGAAAGCCUGACGCAGCAACGCCGCGUGGGGGACGAAGGCUCUCGGGUUGUAAACCCCUUUCAGGAGGGACGAAAUUGACGGUACCUCCAGAAGAAGCCCCGGCCAACUACGUGCCAGCAGCCGCGGUAACACGUAGGGGGCGAGCGUUGUCCGGAUUUAUUGGGCGUAAAGAGCUCGUAGGUGGCUCGGUAAGUCAGGUGUGAAAUUUCGAGGCUCAACCUCGAGACGCCACCUGAUACUGCUGUGGCUAGAGUCCGGUAGGGGAGCGUGGAAUUCCUGGUGUAGCGGUGAAAUGCGCAGAUAUCAGGAGGAACACCAGCGGCGAAGGCGGCGCUCUGGGCCGGUACUGACACUGAGGAGCGAAAGCGUGGGGAUCAAAC